rnacentral:rRNA from 1 species
UACGAAGGGGGCUAGCGUUGCUCGGAAUCACUGGGCGUAAAGGGUGCGUAGGCGGGUCUUUAAGUCAGGGGUGAAAUCCUGGAGCUCAACUCCAGAACUGCCUUUGAUACUGAGGAUCUUGAGUCCGGGAGAGGUGAGUGGAACUGCGAGUGUAGAGGUGAAAUUCGUAGAUAUUCGCAAGAACACCAGUGGCGAAGGCGGACUCACUGGCCCGGUACUGACGCUGAGGCACGAAAGCGUGGGGAGC